UGCAAGCAUAGGCUUUCAAACAAGCACUGCAUGUCUCUGCUUGCAUUCUCCUUCCUCCGUCAGAGCCACGAGAUCGCCAUGAAGGACAGCCUAUUUGGAAGGCAGAGCUCAGCCACCCCGGUUGUCCAGCUAUGUCCAUCUUCUAAGAUCUCCUGACAACCAGAUAACCUCCAGAUAUGUGAGUGAGCUCCACCCACAUUGGCGGAACUUCAAAUGAGCCAGCAGAUCCAUGAGCAAUAAGCAUAUUGCAUAUCUUGAGACAGGCGAUUAGGGCAUAGUGAAGCAGGCUACAGCAGUAGGCGUGACCUGCGAAUUACAAGAUCCCAGAGGCACUCAGAUCAGUUUCCAAAACCCUCAUGUAGAAUUUUCCUGAGAACUCAAGCAGGUUUUCAACAGGAUGGUGCAGACCAGACUCCGCCUGAGACGUGGGAUCCCAGCACAACCUCUCAGGAUCCCUAUGUAGAAGUUCUCGAGAGUUUCCUUGAGAUUUGGACCCAAAGGACACAUCAUUUCAGUGAAGAGCUUGCUAUGGAACUUUCUGCAAUAGCCCACAACACCGAGGGGCAGAGAUAUUAACUGGCCACACAUCAGUAGCAGGGAGCAGUUCAAACACAGUUGAUCUCCACAGCCCAAACUGCCCACGGCUGAGUGGCCUUGGACACAGCACUCUUCUCCUUUUGGUGCUUCAGCUUCUUCCUCAGUGCAAUGGAGAUGUUGUAGUAAAGAUGAAAUAUGUUAAUGGGCAGAAAAUGCCCGAAUAAAUUUAAGUUAUUCAUUGUAGCCCAAGCCUGCAAGUUGGAUUUUUUUUGUGGGGAGAGGGUACCGGGGAUUGAACUCUGGUCCUUAUGCUUGUGAGGCAGGCAGCAGAACCACUGAGCUAAAUCCCUGGCCCUGAAGUUGGAAUUUUUAUCACACUUAUAUUUUACUGUAUCCCACUGGUCCAGUCCAUCUUUACUAUAAAGAUAAAAAACGUUCCCAAGAUCUUAAGAAAAUAAAUUUUAAAAAAAAGUUUUAUUCCAGAAAUUCUCAAAGUGCACUGAAAAAUGUUGGAUCCACCUUUCUCCUGAGUAGCAUAGGGGUGGAUUACACCACUGUGAGAGGCAGCAAUACAGGAGCAAAAGCCUGCAUGGACUGGGGUGCCCAUCUGCAGAAACCCAGCUCUCUGCAUUUCCGAAUAAUUUGAUUCACACCAUCUGGCAGCUUGAAAGAAAAAGAAAAAAAGAAGAGGGAGAAGAAACAACAGCCAUGUAGCAUGAAUGUAAUUCCUAAUCUAAGUUAUGCACUCUCAUUUGCUUCAUGUGAUAUGAGCCAAAUUUAAACAUGUCAACAUCUCAACAAUUGCUGAUUUUUUAACUGUUAUAUGGUGCAUCUGGUGGGCACUCAUUGAAUGUUCUUCGAUGACAGUGACGUAAAUGUAUUUACUAAAAUAUAGUGUAUUGAACAAGGAAAUAGUAUACUGUGAUGUCCUUUAGUUUGUGUUUGCAUAAAUUGGUGCUCUCUGAAAUAUGUGCAUUGAAAUUUAAAAGAGCAUGACUAUGCUUUUAAAAUGUUCAAAAAUCAUAAUUAUAGAGCUUGCAAGCCACUGAAUCCAUUUCCUUCAUUUUAAACACAGGAAAACAGGCCAAGAUUAGGUUUUGAUAGUGAGGGAGCUCAAGGACCCUAGACCCUGGCAAGGGGAAGAUAGGGGAGAGAGCCACAGGGCUGCAUAGAGGGACCACACAGGCUCUGGAACCCAGG
ensembl:lincRNA